rnacentral:rRNA from 1 species
GACGAACGCUGGCGGCGUGCCUAACACAUGCAAGUCGAACGGAGUGGCGAACGGGUGAGUAACACGUGGGUGAUCUGCCUUGCACUACGGGAUAAGCUGGGGAAACUGGGUCUAACACCGGAUAGUGCAAGAUGAGCUCGCGGCCUAGCAGCUUGUGGGUGGGGUAAUGGCCUACCAAGGCGUCGACGGGUAGCCGGCCGGAGAGGGUGUACGGCCACAUUGCGACUGAGAGACGGCCCAGGCGCCUACGGGAGACAGCAGGGAGGAAUAUUGCACAAUGGGGGAGCGUGGUGCAGCGGCGUCGGGUGGGGAAGGAAGGCCUUCGGGGUGUAAACUCCUUUCGACAGGGACGCGGUACCUAUAUAAGAAGCACCGGCUAACUACGUGCCAGCAGCCGCGGUAAUUC